GCAUGCCUGGAUGUCCCUGCCCUGGCUGUGGCAUGGCGGGCCCAAGGCUCCUCUUCCUCACUGCCCUUGCCCUGGAACUCUUGGGAAGGGCUGGGGGUUCCCAGCCGGCCCUCCGGAGCCGGGGGACUGCGACGGCCUGUCGCCUGGACAACAAGGAAACUGGGGCCUGGCGCCUGAAGCAGCUGCUCAGCUUCGCCCUGGGGGGACUCUUGGGCAAUGUGUUUCUGCAUCUGCUGCCCGAAGCCUGGGCCUACACGUGCAGCACCAGCCCUGGUGGUGAGGGGCAGAGCCUGCAGCAGCAGCAACAGCUGGGGCUGUGGGUCAUUGCUGGCAUCCUGACCUUCCUGGCGUUGGAGAAGAUGUUCCUGGACAGCAAGGAGGAGGGGACCAGCCAGGUGGGCCCCACACUCAAG
rnacentral:lncRNA from 1 species